AAAAAGUUUGAACAAAACAUCAUACUGCUUUUGUACUGGAAGCAACAACUGACAGUGUUUGUUUCUGUUUUUACUCUUCAGACAUUCAACCGCCGGUCCUGCUGGUGUUGAUUGUGGUGAUCCUAUGAUGCCUGGUGCUCCCGUUGUUGGAAUCAUGACAGGGGUAAAUCGAGGUAUGCCUGCAGCCAUGGCAGGCUUUCCAGGAGCAGGUCCCCAGGAUUGCUGACCGGUGAAGUGUGUGCAAAGAGUGCCAAAUGCUGCAAGUGUCUAUUCUGGAGCCAUGUUUGCCUAUGCCUGGUCAGCAGCAUAUGGUGAAGCCGGAGCACGACUUGCAGGUUUCACAGGGCAACAGUCAAGCUGCCCAUUUCAGCAGCAUGGAUCCAUCAUUCUCCAAGGCUGCAGCUCUUCAGCAAACCCAAAGGAACCAGCUACCCAAGCACACGGCAGCAACCAUGUGCUACAAUGCCUAUGCACCUGGCUAAGGACAGACGAUUUCAACACCGUUUGGUGUCUCAACAGCACAACAGCCUUCCUGUAGCAGGCGUGGUACCUGGUGUGCAGAACGGACCGCAGAUUCAGCAGCAGAACCAAGCAUCUGCGGUCACUUCAACCCCUUCUUCGCAACCACUAGUGCAUCAGAAGCAGCAGUCUGCACAAAGCCCAACAGAUAGCUCUGCACUUCCCAGUCGAACUGCCAAUGCUACAGAACCUAAGCAGAAGAAACAGCCGGGUCAACAGCAGCCUAGGCAGAAUCAACAACAGAGGAACCAAGCUAGUCAACAGAGCUAGGCUUAUGAAGAGUUAAAUUUAGGACCAGGAAGCAUGGUGACACCUCAGGCUCCUGCGGCCGGCGCCUCUCCAGCCAGUGCUGUUCCUAUGGCUUCCAAGAAACAAUUUCCGGACAAAAAAUUGACGCAACAUGGCUAUGGUAAUAAAGCGUUGGUUUCAGUAACACCUCAGCCUGGGAAUCAACAUAAGCUAUAUGCCUACUGCCUUGUCAGGUUGAGGUUUAUGUGAACCAUCGAACAACUGACACUGAAUUCAGAGGCAAAAAGUAGCGCAAAGAGGGGAAAUUGCUGGGGUUUUAGCGACUUGCAGAUGCGCAUAUAGAGGCCAGCCGGAGCACGGUGGCUAGGGUUUCAACCCAGUGCAGGAAUGGAUGCCUCUCCAGGCCCGGGGUCUUGGCUCAGCCAAGGCAUGCAGCAUAGGCAAAUUUCAGGUGGGUUGCUGCCUGUGCACGGCCAAGAGGUCGGCAGUUGGUGGCACCAGCAACAGCUGUCUAGGCCGCAUCUGCAGCCUCCGCAUCAUAAGCAGCAGCAGAGCCCAGUUGUUCCAGGCAGGAUGCAUGCUCUCCAAAAUCCAGGGUCAGGCUGAUGGAACCUUCGAUACUGGCCGGUCGUUUACUUGGAGCAACCUUUCUAUCUGAAAUCCAAAGUUACUGUACA